rnacentral:ncRNA from 1 species
CGACCACCCCACGGGUGCCCGAAGCAUCGGGCUGAGAUCGCGCUGGAGCUUGCGUGAAUACCGUUUGAACCUGUCCGGUUAGUACCGGCGAAGGAAGAGAGGCCAGGCCAUGUC